UACGGAGGGGGCAAGCGUUGUUCGGAAUUACUGGGCGUAAAGGGCGCGCAGGCGGCUGCUCAAGUCAGGCGUGAAAGGCCUGGGCUCAACCCGGGAAUUGCGCUUGAGACUGGGCUGGCUUGAGUGCGGGAGAGGAUGGUGGAAUUCCCGGUGUAGAGGUGAAAAUUCGUAGAUAUCGGGAGGAACACCAGUGGCGAAGGCGGCGAUCUGGGAAGAUACUGACGCUGAGGUGCGAAAGCGUGGGGAGCAAACAGG
rnacentral:rRNA from 1 species